rnacentral:rRNA from 1 species
GACGAACGCUGGCGGCGUGCUUAACACAUGCAAGUCGAACGGAAAGGCCCUGCUUUUGUGGGGUGCUCGAGUGGCGAACGGGUGAGUAACACGUGAGUAACCUGCCCUUGACUUUGGGAUAACUUCAGGAAACUGGGGCUAAUACCGGAUAGGAGUUCCUCCUCCAUGGUGGGGGUUGGAAAGUUUCGGCGGUUGUGGUUGGACUGGAGGUUUAUCAGCUUGUUGGUGGGGUAGUGGCUUACCAAGGCUUUGACGGGUAGCCGGCCUGAGAGGGUGACCGGCCACAAUGGGACUGAGGAACGGCAAAGACUACUACGGGAGGCAGCAGUGGGGAAUAUUGCACAAUAGGAGGAAGCCUGAUGCAGCAACGCUGCGUGCGGGAUGAAGGCCUUCGGGGGGUAAACCGCUUUCGCCUGUGACGAAGCGUGAGUGACGGUAAUGGGUAAAGAAGCACCGGCUAACUACGUG